rnacentral:rRNA from 1 species
AGGCUUUGAUCCUGGCUCAGAACGAACGCUGGCGGCGUGCUUAACACAUGCAAGUCGAACGCGAAAGGGGCUUCGGUCCUGAGUAGAGUGGCGCACGGGUGAGUAACGCGUAGAUAACCUGUCAUAUUGUCUGGGAUAACAUCUCGAAAGGGGUACUAAUACCGGAUAGCCUUGUUUUUUAUAAGGGGAACAAGGAAAGGUGGCCUCUGAUAUAAGCUACCGCAAGAUGAGGGGUCUGCGUACCAUUAGCUAGUAGGUGGGGUAAUGGCCUACCUAGGCGACGAUGGUUAGCGGGUCUGAGAGGAUGAUCCGCCACACUGGCACUGAAACACGGGCCAGACUCCUACGGGAGGCAGCAGUGAGGAAUAUUGCGCAAUGGGGGCAACCCUGACGCAGCGACGCCGCGUGAGUGAGGAAGGCCUUCGGGUCGUAAAGCUCUGUCAAGGGGGAAGAAGUGUGUACUGGUUAAUACCCAGUAUAUUUGACGGUACCCUCUCGGAGGAAGCCCCGGCUACUA